rnacentral:snoRNA from 1 species
UGCAGGACAGUCAGUGAUGCGUUUUUAUUCAUGUUGUCUGAACCUGUCUGAAACAUCGGUGAUGCAAUCUCUGGGUGAUUCUGAGACUUCUCUAAGU